UCCCAUAGUCAUGGCGUCGAAACAGCUUCUGAUUCUCAGCGUGGUCGUAGCGGCCGUUGCAGCGGCACCUCAGGUCUUCCGUGACGAUCAACUGCCAAUUCCUC
rnacentral:lncRNA from 1 species